UUUAUUGCAAUUAAUCAAUAGGCAUAACAAUUUGGUGAUAACCCUCCAUGACAUAAACACUCAUAUGGCAUCCAAGGAUCAAAAUAAAGAGUGUUUCCUUUAGGAACCCACGCCAUGUUCUUUCCUUUCAGCUCUUGGGUACCAAGUCUUUGAAGCUUCUUUUUCUCCCAAAUUGAUAAACCAAGUUGAUGGCUCGGCAGUAUUUCAGUUUGGAACAACAGCAGGUCUUUCUUGAUUUUUG
rnacentral:lncRNA from 1 species